GUAGGGGAAAUGUCUCUUUAAAGUUUUUUUUUUUUUUUUUUUUUCCAGUCUAAGUUGUUUCCUCCUCCCUGUGUCUGUUCGCAGAGCCAAUAGUUCCUCACAGCCUCGGUGCGAUUGUUACUGGGCAGACUUCUUCUACACACACACACCUCUCUCUCUCUCUCUCUCUCUCUCUCUCUCUCUCCCUCUCUCUCUCCCUCUCUCUCUCCUCCCUCUGGUCAUUUGUCAGUCUAUCGCCCUGAUGGGUGUCGCUGCAGCUCAAACUGUCCUAUCGUCGUUUGGGUUUGAGUGGCAUCAUCAUCAUCAUCAUCAUCAUCAUCACACAGGCAGCAGCAGCAGCAGCAGCAGGACUGAAGUUUCGCCAUGUUUCUUGUUUCGGGUUCGAGAAAGAAGCUGCAGCGACUCAAAUUAGACUGCCCUGCAGCGGAACAGUGACGCCAGCAGCGACUCCUCUGUGAGGAACGCGAGAGCAGCGAGCCGCGCGUUCUGUCCCCCGGAAGCUUUCAAUUACCAUAUCAGAACAAAAAAUCGGACCCCCCCCCCCCCCCCCCCUACGGGUUAAGAAACGUUAUGACCCUACAAAGUCAAAAGCAGCAGCAGCAGCGAGGAUCGAGCAGAGUGACUCAUCACCAGCACCUUUCACGGUUUAAAUCAACGACCAGAGACGACGAGGAGGGCGACACCCCGGAGGAGAGGGAGGGGGGGG